UCGUCUUCUCUCUUUCGUGUUUCUUCUGGGCAAGGGCAAGCACCGUUUCGUAUUCAAAUUCCUGAAAUUUCGUUUUCUUUUUCGGUUUCUCAGUUCGUCGACUAUAUUGAUCUUGCAACGCUUCAGCAGGUCGGUGUUUUGAAGUAGAACUCAGGCCUAUCAAGCUUCAUUAUUGAUUCCGGAAGUGACGAGAAGAGAACAUCUGGUUUCUUCUUCACUAUGCGAGGUCCUGCUGGAACCUUUCGAGUCUUUGGUCGAAUAUCCUGCAAGAACAUAAUGGCAGUGGGUAUUGCAAGCGUAGCAACGGCAUUUGGAGCAUCGACUAUCCCAGAUAUUCUUCCUUCGCACGGACAGCAUGAGAGUAAGAGGUAUACCUGUUCCUCUUAAAACUUAAAACUCCUUGGCAGAUUUAAUGCUUGUGAUCAGUUUUGGUUCUCAGAGAAACUUCUAGUGGCAAGGAUUAGUAUACCUGUUCUUUUGAGUAACCAAAUUUGGAGAGAUAGUCUAUAGCGUUGAGAACUGCUCGUUUGUAAGCAACUGUUGCAUCUAGAUAAUGUUGUUUUCCGCUCUCAUCGACACUGAUACCCUCAAACACCAGCCACUCUGAGAAUCUUGGUUCCAUUGGCCCUAUCUCAAAGAUUGGGUUUACAUGGAGAGGGGUUGGUCCCAUUGGUGUAAGCCUCCUUUGAAAUCCUUUCCCAUUCUGGUGUUCCCUCUUCAAUCUACAAGAGCAUUAUGUAAAGAAUCCUCACGAGUUCAGAGCUUACAUUCCCGAGGAGGCAUCCUCUACUUGUUGGAGUUCUUUUGAUGGUGCAGUGCCAAUGAUUCCUGGGUGUGUCAAACCUGGAAACCGUACUCCUGCGGUGCCGUGAUGUGAUGAUAUUAGCAUGUGAAUAGUUAACAGAACACCUCAUAACAAGGAAAGCUACAUGGUUAUGCUACUAAUCUGCUUGACAAAAAGCAGGACGAUGUUAUGUUCUAACCAGGAAUUUGAGAAGAGUAGGCAUAAAUCCCUUCAAAGUACCAAAUAGCUUUGGUUGCACAAGGGAAAUGGUCAGUCAAGAACCCGCCACCAUUCUCUCUAUCAAACGAACCAGUAAAUCCCCAUUCAUCUCCUGGCAGAGGACCCAAGUUGCAUAUCUCAACAGCGAGCAGAUCACCUGGCUUGGCUGCAACACCAUCCUCGUCCACAACUUUGAUCGGCCCACUCAGUAGAAAGGUCUAUGCUCUUUAUAUCGCCAGCAGAAUCAUCAUCUUUCACUGCACCUCCCGUCCAGUCAACCAUUUCCACCCUAAAGAACUCACCAGCCUUGACCUCAGCAACUGAUGGUAUCUCAGGAUGCCUCAGGAUGCCAUCUAUUAUGCAGUGGCUGAUUCUGUUGCCAUGGUUUCUUCUUCAAAUCCACCUUCACCACUACUCUUGGACUCAGCGGAGCCAUCAAACAUUAAAAUCCAAUAAAUUCCUUAUCCACAACUAAAAGACAGUAAAAGAUCCCAUCUCUCACCAUCUCGUAUAUGCCAUAAGACACAUUCUUUGUUAUGUCCGGAGAGAGAGGUGGAGCUCAUGAAGGAGGAGUCUUACGUUUGACUUAUUAAUUUCGUAUUUUUGUAAUUCAAAUAGUACAGAUGGACACAGUUCAUACCUGAUCGAAGAUGGCCGUAGGUAUUGCUAGUGUAGCAACGGCAUUCGGAGAAUCAACUAUCCCAGAUAUUCUUCCUUCACAUGGACAACAUGAGAGCAAGAGAUCCUACAAGUGCUGCUGCAGAGACCAGUACCUGUUCUUUUGAGUAACCAAAUUUGAAGAGAUAGUCUAUGGCGUUGAGAACUGCCCGUUUGUAAGCAACUGUUGCAUCUAGGUAAUGUUGUCUUCC